AACUUCCUUAGAUGAGGAGGAAAACUGCAGAGCAUGAGAACACUACUUCAGGAUAGUUGCCUGGAACCUUCAAUUCCUUCCUUUCCGUAUUCAGACUUUCAGGGUUGCUUGUUGAAUUUGCCCAGGUUUAUGCAUAGUGAAGUCAGACC